rnacentral:rRNA from 1 species
UACGUAGGGUGCGAGCGUUGUCCGGAAUUAUUGGGCGUAAAGAGCUUGUAGGUGGCUCGUCGCGUCGGGAGUGAAAACCCGCGGCUUAACCGCGGGCCUGCUUUCGAUACGGGCGGGCUAGAGUUCGGCAGGGGAGACUGGAAUUCCUGGUGUAGCGGUGAAAUGCGCAGAUAUCAGGAGGAACACCGGUGGCGAAGGCGGUUCUCUGGGCAUUACCUGACGCUGAGGAGCGAAAGUGUGGGGAGCGAACAGG